rnacentral:rRNA from 1 species
UACGAGUGCUCCAAGCGUUAUCCGGAAUUAUUGGGCGUAAAGGGUGUGUAGGUGGUUGUAUUAGUCUUUUGUUAAAUUCUUCGGCUUAACCGGGGGCAUGCAAAAGAAACGGUACAACUAGAGGAUGCGAGAGGUAUAUGGAACUCAUGGAGUAGGGGUGAAAUCCGUUGAUAUCAUGGGGAACACCAAAAGCGAAGGCAAUAUACUGGCGCACUCCUGACACUGAGACACGAAAGCGUAGGUAGCGAAUGGG